rnacentral:rRNA from 1 species
AACGAACGCUGGCGGCAUGCUUAACACAUGCAAGUCGAACGAGACCUUCGGGUUUAGUGGCGCUCGGGGGUGUAACGCGUGGGAACCUGCCCUUAGGUUCGGAAUAACUGCCCGAAAGGGGUGCUUAUCCCGGAGAAUGUCGUCCGACCAAAGAUUUAUCGCCUUUGGAUGGGCCCGCGUUGGAUUAGAUAGUUGGUAGGGUAAAAGCGUACCAAGGCGACGUUCCUUAGCUGGUGUGGGAGGAGGAUCAGCCACUCUGGGACUGAGGCACGGAGCAGACUCCUACGGGAGGCAGCGGUGGGGAGUCUUAGACAGCGAACGAGAGCGUAAUACAGCAGUGCCGCGUGUGUGAUGCAGGCCUUAGGGUUGUAAAGCUCUUUUACCCGGGAUGUUAAUGACGGUACCGGGAGAAUAAGCUCCGGCUAACUCCGUG